CCACCCACCUCCCGAGUCCCCAGUCCCAUCCACCCCUGCCUCGCCGCCGCCCCAUGCCCCGCCGCCUCGCGCCGCCCACGGCCACCCCAGUCCCCCACCGCGGCGUCAUCCUCGUCCCCCACCGCGGCGCCACUCCUCUACACCGACGCGCCGCCGCCACUCUCCCCAGAUGCGCCGCCGCGCCGCCCCUCUCCCCCGACGCGCCGCCCCUCUCCCCAGAUGCACCGCCGCGCCGCCCCUCUCCCCUGACGCGCCGCCCCUCUCCCCGAGCUCGCCGGCCAUCCCUUCCCCCCACUCUUUCCCAAAAGAGUCCGCCUCCCGAGCUCUGCCAUGCGCGGCUGCGCCUGCUCCACUGUCCAGGUGACACCGGUCGACGCCCCAACCGCGUGCCGCCAUAUACUGCUGCUCCUUCCCAUGAGCCACCUCGCCUUCUCCUCCGUGGAUAAGUUCGCCACGAGCGAGGACUCUGGAUCGAGCCGGCCGACGCCAACCUGCUGGCGUGCUACCCCCGCCCCAGCCAUCUCGUCCACCACGGUGCACCGCUGCCUAUUCUGGCCAUGGGCAAGCACAAGCGCCACCCGUGUGGAUGUGUAGCAAGUUCAAGUACCGGUCUACGCGAAGUGUAUCACUCCAGCACGCCAUGCUCCAGUGCAUGUCGACGUCAUCUCCGCUGCAAUGGAAGCUGCAGAUUUUACUCCACUCUACUUACCUUGCGAGUACUGAUCAGUACAACUUACACAAUAUUAGUACCGAUCAGUGCAUGUCGACGACAAGUAGCAGUACUGAUCAGUACAACUUACACAAUAUUAGUACCGAUCAGUACUAUUCUUAAUGCUAAAAGUAACAUCCAUAUAGUACUGAUGAGUCGUACUGACAAGGAUGCCGUCUACAAUUCUGAACUUAUUGUUGAGUCGUACUAGUACUGAUGAAAUGGGAAGCAAAUGUCACAUGAAUCCUUAAUUGAAUAGGAAGCAAGGUUGCAAUGAGAUCCUGGAAAUUCACUAUUUAUUUUAUCCUCAGUUCUUAGAAAAGCAUGGAAACAAUUCUCUCUGUGUUAGGGUAUCAGUUCAUGUGGAGAAGAACAUGUUUCCUAUAUGAAAAAAUAAUAUAUUAUUAUCAGUUCAAUGUGUAUUUUGUCAUUAGUUCAUACAGAACAACCGUAAAAAAUAUUUUGAUGUGUGUUAGAGAGAGCUCGACUUCAUAUUAUAUGGUAGCUCACUCAUUGCAUGAUUGCACAGCAGUUUGGCAACAAAAUUCACAUCAGCUUAGGGGCGCCCGCAUCACGGUCUCACCGUGCUACCGCAAUCUCUCCUUGAUACGCCACCGUACGAGCAACUUUGGCAAGCUGUCACUUCUUGCUCCUGUGCCUGGAUCCCAUGUGAGCGCCCCUGGAAUCAGAUGGGAGGAGAACCGUCCAAAGUGCGAGUUUUGUGAGGUCGACGUGCGAGCCAGUCUAACCAGCGCAUCUGAAGCAACAUAUGCAGAGUGAUUCGCCCAAAGCAGCCAGGGGUAUACACGGUUGUUGGGAGCCGUCCAAGUUGAGCUCUGGCUGCAGUCCAAGUGGGACUGCGACCACCAUCUAAUCAAAAUUGCUACUAUGUGUUUCUAAUUGAACCGCCGCCCCGAGAAUCCCCGCUGAGCUCGUCCGCAUCCCCGGCCCUCUUCGGGGCCACCCAGGUCUACAUCGCAGGGCCGCUAUGUUCUCUUUACCGCCAUCCAGGUCCGACGAGCCGCCGCACGCAGGAUCCCAUGCGUGCUAGCCUUGGUGCUGGCCCUGCGCGAUAGCACGGCAUCAUUCACUGCCGCCACCAUGGGCCGUUCAAUGACACAGCGUCAAGUCGUUCGACGCCGCAGCUCAGGAGUUUGCCUCCUUUCCCAACCUCCACUAUGCUGGUCUCUCCUGUUCUCCUCUCUUCACUAACCUCUCUCGCUUCUUUCGCUUGAAUUCCUGCUAAUGUUGGCUGUAGCUUGAAUUCCACCAGGGGUGCUGGCAGCCGUCCAAGUGGAGCGUUGACGCCAGUACAAGUAGAAUCGUGGUUUGCGGCCACCAUCUUCACCAAGCACCGCACAUCCGUCCAAGUCGAGCACACACACAGGGAGAACACACCAGCCCCUCUGCUUUGCACAUUGCUUGGUUAUGCAUGACUGCUGAUGGAUGCAACAAAGCGUUUAUAUUAGUUUGAUCUUGUGCAAGACUCAAUUUUGUCUCGGUUUUCGUGGAUGCUAGCUGGCAAUACGUCCAACAUUCUUGCGGCGAUAGCGGCCACCACUAAGGGCAUUUGCGUCCAGCACUCGAGCUACAUGCUCGACGGUUGCACACUGCCGCCAUGGGCAUGCACAAAGAUAUUAAGUAGAUGUUUGUUAGUUCAGUUUUUUAUUGAUUUACCUUGUUUAAGUAGUAGUGCAACAAUAAAAGGUGUCGUUGUACUGAAGUUUUAGUUGCUAUAUGAGGAACCCAGAGGCCAUUUAUUUUGGUUUUCAGUUCAACUUGUCUGUUCUUUUCGGUCCGGAUGCUUUAUUGCGCAUAAUCUUGAGGAAAUCCCCAAAAGUCAUAUGUCUCAUGUGAAUCUUGUUCAGUUCAUUAGUUCGUCGGAAAAAUAUAUCAUCUACAAAAAGAAUUGCAUUCUGGUAAUGUGAAGUAUGUUGUAGUCUAUACCUGUAGAGUGCAUUUUUGUAGUGCUGGUAUUCGUGGUCACUCUUUUGUGUUAGAAACAAUGGAUAUAUAUUUAUAUUUUGUAGUGUCAGUACUUGAGAACAAAAGGUUCAGUUUUCAUACUUUAAACAGUUCAUCGCAAGCUUUCGGUGUAGCAAGACGCGCGCCAAUGUGUGUGUGCACUUGAUGCAACUCUAUUGCAGUAUAUGAAGUUCAUACGAUUUUCAUGCAUCAACAAUCUGAUAGAGAGCACCAUUCUUUUCUGAAUUUUGUAUUUAAGAAAUAUCACCCUUUCUAUAUUUUGAACACUAGCUAGUGCUUUCUUUUCUUGUUAUAGUCAAAAAGUAGUACAGGUAUCUAGUUAUGGUGAUAGUGAUACUAACCAGACCAAGCUACUUCAAUUGUUUUACCAAAAUCUAGAAAUUCUCCAUAUACGGCAAGAGCCAACCGGACAUCUUUGUCUAGCCUGACUUGGGACGGCUUCUUUGCAACUGCAGGUUAGAAAGUUCAACAUGUGAUUGGAAUUCAGUGCGAAAAACUGCAGGUGCAAGAUGGCGGCUGCCGACGUCGCUAAAUCCCUCUACAAACUAGUGGUUGGCUGUUCCCAGCGGUAAAUGUGAUCGGAUUCAGCAGCUAGCUCUUCCUCGAGCAACCAUUUGGAGAACUUUAUUGUCUUGUGGUGGUGAUUGAUUUUAGGAUCAGUAAAUUUGACGUUGGUAGCUAGAUGAAACCUGCAAGUUCAAUAUUGGUAUUAGAUUCAGUUCUUGUUGUACAAAUGUCCCAAUGUUCACAUUUAUUUGGGUAAAAGUUUAUUUUAGUUCAGCAACAGAAACCAUGCAGGUUCAGUGAUGAUGAUACCAUAAGUUCGGACAAGAAAAUUUAUGUAUA